GUAGGCAGCAAGCGUUGUUCGGAGUUACUGGGCGUAAAGGGGGUGUAGGCGGCUUUUUAAGUUUGGUGUGAAAUCUCCCGGCUCAACUGGGAGGGUGCGCCGAAUACUGAAAGGCUAGAGUGCGGGAGAGGAAAGUGGAAUUCCUGGUGUAGCGGUGAAAUGCGUAGAUAUCAGGAGGAACACCGGUGGUGUAGACGGCUUUCUGGACCGUAACUGACGCUGAAACACGAAAGCGUGGGUAGCAAACAGGAUUAGAUACCCUGGUAGUCCACGCCCUAAACGAUGCAUAUUUGGUGUGGGUCAUUCAGUUGAUCCGUGCCGGAGCUAACGCGUUAAAUAUGCCGCCUGGGGAGUACAGUCGCAAGGCUG
rnacentral:rRNA from 1 species